rnacentral:piRNA from 1 species
UUUUCCCAUAAAUCUUGCCAG